UACGUAGGGGGCAAGCGUUGUCCGGAAUCAUUGGGCGUAAAGAGCGCGUAGGCGGCCCGGUAAGUCCGCUGUGAAAGUCAAAGGCUCAACCUUUGAAUGUCAGCGGAUACUGCCGGGCUAGAGUCCGGAAGGGGCGAGUGGAAUUCCUGGUGUAGCGGUGAAAUGCGCAGAUAUCAGGAGGAACACCAAUGGCGAAGGCAGCUCGCUGGAACGGUACUGACGCUGAGGCGCGAAAGCGUGGGGGAGCGAAACAGG
rnacentral:rRNA from 1 species